CCUACGGGAUGCAGCAGUGAGGAAUAUUGGUCAAUGGCCGUAAGGCUGAACCAGCCAAGUCGCGUGAAGGAAGAAGGAUCUAUGGUUUGUAAACUUCUUUUAUAGGGGAAUAAAGGUAUCCACGUGUGGAUAUUUGCAUGUACCCUAUGAAUAAGCAUCGGCUAACUCCGUGCCAGCAGCCGCGGUAAUACGGAGGAUGCGAGCGUUAUCCGGAUUUAUUGGGUUUAAAGGGUGCGUAGGUUGUUUUUUAAGUCAGCGGUGAAAGUUUGUGGCUCAACCAUAAAAUUGCCGUUGAAACUGGCAGACUUGAGUGUGUUUGAGGUAGGCGGAAUGCGUGGUGUAGCGGUGAAAUGCAUAGAUAUCACGCAGAACUCCGAUUGCGAAGGCAGCUUACUAAGCCAUAACUGACACUGAAGCACGAAAGCGUGGGGAUCAAACAGGAUUAGAUACCCCAGUAGUC
rnacentral:rRNA from 1 species